GUAGGUGGCGAGCGUUGUCCGGAAUUAUUGGGGCGUAAAGCGCGCGCAGGCGGUUCUUUAAGUCUGAUGUGAAAGCCCACGGGCUCAACCGUGGAGGGUCAUUGGAAACUGGAGAACUUGAGUACAGAAGAGGAAAGCGGAAUUCCACGUGUAGCGGUGAAAUGCGUAGAGAUGUGGAGGAACACCAGUGGCGAAGGCGGCUUUCUGGUCUGUAACUGACGCUGAGGCGCGAAAGCGUGGGGAGCAAACAGGAUUAGAUACCCUGGUAGUCCACGCCGUAAACGAUGAGUGCUAAGUGUUAGGGGGUUUCCGCCCCUUAGUGCUGCAGCUAACGCAUUAAGCACUCCGCCUGGGGAGUACGGCCGCAAAGGCUGA
rnacentral:rRNA from 1 species